GAUGAACGCUGGCGGCGUGCCUAAUACAUGCAAGUCGAGCGAACAGACGAGGAGCUUGCUCCUCUGACGUUAGCGGCGGACGGGUGAGUAACACGUGGAUAACCUACCUAUAAGACUGGGAUAACUUCGGGAAACCGGAGCUAAUACCGGUAAUAUAUUGAACCGCAUGGUUCAAUAGUGAAAGACGGUUUUGCUGUCACUUAUAGAUGGAUCCGCGCCGCAUUAGCUAGUUGGUAAGGUAACGGCUUACCAAGGCAACGAUGCGUAGCCGACCUGAGAGGGUGAUCGGCCACACUGGAACUGAGACACGGUCCAGACUCCUACGGGAGGCAGCAGUAGGGAAUCUUCCGCAAUGGGCGAAAGCCUGACGGAGCAACGCCGCGUGAGUGAUGAAGGUCUUCGGAUCGUAAAACUCUGUUAUUAGGGAAGAACAAAUGUGUAAGUAACUAUGCACGUCUUGACGGUACCUAAUCAGAAAGCCACGGCUAACUACGUG
rnacentral:rRNA from 1 species